rnacentral:rRNA from 1 species
UUAGGUCGACCCGCUGAAYUUAAGCAUAUCACUAAGCGGAGGAAAAGAAACUAACAAGGAUUCCCUUAGUAACGGCGAGUGAACAGGGAAAAGCCCAGCACCGAAGCCUGUGGUCGUUUGGUCACUAGGCAAUGUGGUGUUUAGGUCGUCUCUUGGAGGUACUGACCCACCCUAAGUCCAGCAAUGAGUACGGUMAAGCGGACAUGGCCCACAGAGGGUGAAAGGCCCGUGAGGGUGGGGUACAGGCAAGACAGUGCUUCCCUGAGUAGACCUUGGAGUCGGGUUGUUUGAGAAUGCAGCCCAAAGUGGGUGGUAGACUCCAUCCAAGGCUAAAUACUAACACGAGUCCGAUAGCGAACAAGUACCGUGAGGGAAAGUUGAAAAGUACUUUGAAGAGAGAGUAAACAGUGCGUGAAACCGCUCAGAGGUAAACGGGUAGAGUUGAACUGCAAUCCUUGAGGAUUCAGCUGGUGAGGGUGGAUUGAGCUUGGUCAUGUUGGUCGGCUCUCAGAGUCUGCUUAGUUCGCAGGCUCCCAUUUCGGUGGGUGUGCGCUUUGCACUUAAUAAGUGUUGCGCGCUCUGAGGGUUUUCGGGCCUCCUCAUCAGUGCACUUUCUCAGGGUGAUCACCACGACCGGCGCUGCUGUCUGUCUGCUUCAGUCAAACCGAUCAGGCAUCGUCCCUGUGGCUUUGUUUGGUCGGGAUGGCAGGUAGCCUGUUUGGUCUUGGCCUGCGGGUGAAAUGAGCUGACUGUUGUGGAACUGUGCAGUGCGUCGGAGAUGGCGGCUGUGGUGUCCAUGCGUGCUAUUGUCUGAUCGGUUGUUCAUGAGUCCGGCCGUCUAGUUGCUCCCAAAAGGGCCUAGUGGUGGCUUGUGGCUAUUGGUUGGCGGUGGCGUGUGGCACUUUCGAGGGCCAAAAGUCUGUGGUGUAGUGGUAAACUAUCUACCCGACCCGUCUUGAAACACGGACCAAGGAGUUUAACAUGUGCGCGAGUCAUUGGGUGCUACGAAACCCACAGGCAAAGUGAAAGUAAAGGCUUAGCUUGUCUGAGCUGAGGUGAGAUCCUGCUGUAUCCCUUGCUCGGUAUCACCAAGCUUUAGAGCAGCAGGCGCAUCACCGGCCCGUCUCAUGGCGUAGUCAUGUGUCUUCGGAUGCGUGCACCGUCGGGGCGGAGCUUGAGCGCACACGUUGAGACCCGAAAGAUGGUGAACUAUGCUUGCGCAGGUUGAAGCCAGAGGAAACUCUGGUGGAGGACCGCAGCGAUUCUGACGUGCAAAUCGAUCGUCAAACGUGAGUAUAGGGGCGAAAGACUAAUCGAACCAUCUAGUAGCUGGUUCCCUCCGAAGUUUCCCUCAGGAUAGCA